GACGAACGCUGGCGGCGUGCUUAACACAUGCAAGUCGAACGGAAAGGCCCUGCUUUUGUGGGGUGCUCGAGUGGCGAACGGGUGAGUAGCACGUGAGUAACCUGCCCUUGACUUUGGGAUAACUUCAGGAAACUGGGGCUAAUACCGGAUAGGAGCUCCUGCUGCAUGGUGGGGGUUGGAAAGUUUCGGCGGUUGGGGAUGGACUCGCGGCUUAUCAGCUUGUUGGUGGGGUAGUGGCUUACCAAGGCUUUGACGGGUAGCCGGCCUGAGAGGGUGACCGGCCACAUUGGGACUGAGAUACCGCCCAGACUCCUACGGGAGGCAGCAGUGGGGAAUAUUGCACAAUGGGCGGAAGCCUGAUGCAGCAACGCCGCGUGCGGGAUGACGGCCUUCGGGUUGUAAACCGCUUUCGCCUGUGACGAAGCGUGAGUGACGGUAAUGGGUAAAGAAGCACCGGCUAACUACGUG
rnacentral:rRNA from 1 species